rnacentral:rRNA from 1 species
CCACGGGAGGCAGCAGUGGGGAAUAUUGCACAAUGGGGGAAACCCUGAUGCAGCAACGCCGCGUGAGUGAAGAAGUAUUUCGGUAUGUAAAGCUCUAUCAGCAGGGAAGAAGAUGACGGUACCUGAAUAAGAAGCCCCGGCUAACUACGUGCCAGCAGCCGCGGUAAUACGUAGGGGGCAAGCGUUAUCCGGAUUUACUGGGUGUAAAGGGAGCGCAGACGGCAGUGCAAGUCUGGAGUGAAAGCCCGGGGCCCAACCCCGGAACUGCUCUGGAAACUGUGCGGCUAGAGUGCAGGAGAGGUAAGUGGAAUUCCUAGUGUAGCGGUGAAAUGCGUAGAUAUUAGGAGGAACACCAGUGGCGAAGGCGGCUUACUGGACUGUAACUGACGUUGAGGCUCGAAAGCGUGGGGAGCAAACAGGAUUAGAUACCCCAGUAGUC